rnacentral:rRNA from 1 species
AUUGAACGCUGGCGGCAGGCCUAACACAUGCAAGUCGAACGAGUGGCGGACGGGUGAGUAAUGUCUGGGAAACUGCCCGAUGGAGGGGGAUAACUACUGGAAACGGUAGCUAAUACCGCCUACCUUCGGAUGUGCCCAGAUGGGAUUAGCUAGUAGUGGGGGUAACGGCGCACCUAGGCGACGAUCCCUUGCUGGUCUGAGAGGAUGACCAGCCACACUGGAACUGAGACACGGUCCAGACUCCUACGGGAGGCAGCAGUGGGGAAUAUUGCACAAUGGGCGCAAGCCUGAUGCAGCCAUGCCGCGUGUAUGAAGAAGGCCUUCGGGUUGUAAAGUACUUUCAGCUGGGAGGCGUUACCCGCAGAAUAAGCACCGGCUAACUCCGUGCCAGCAGCCGCGGUAAUAC